rnacentral:rRNA from 1 species
CCCUUAGAUGUCCGGGGCCGCACGCGCGCUACACUGAAGGAAUCAGCGUGGCUUUCUCCCUGACCCGAAAGGGUUGGGAAACCCGUUGAAUCUCCUUCGUGAUAGGGAUUGGGGCUUGAAAUUGUUCCCCAUGAACGAGGAAUUCCCAGUAAGCGCGAGUCAUAAGCUCGCGUUGAUUACGUCCCUGCCCUUUGUACACACCGCCCGUCGCUACUACCGAUUGAACGGUUUAGUGAGGGCCUCGGAUUGGUCUCGGCCCGCUCUUUACCGGGCGGCGCCGUUGGUCGAGAAGACGCUCGAACUUGAUCGUUUAGAGGAAGUAAAAGUCGUUACA